GGGCCCGCACAAGCGGAGGAACAUGUGGUUUAAUUCGAUGAUACGCGAGGAACCUUACCCGGGCUUGAAAUGCAUUUGACCGGCUCAGAGACGAGCCUUCCCUUCGGGGCAAAUGUGUAGGUGCUGCAUGGUUGUCGUCAGCUCGUGCCGUGAGGUGUCGGCUUAAGUGCCAUAACGAGCGCAACCCUCAUCAUUAGUUACUAACAGGUUAAGCUGAGGACUCUAAUGAGACUGCCAUCGUAAGAUGCGAGGAAGGUGGGGAUGACGUCAAAUCAGCACGGCCCUUAUGUCCGGGGCGACACACGUGUUACAAUGGAUGGUACAACAGGCAGCUACUUGGCGACAAGAUGCUAAUCCCAAAAACCAUUCUCAGUUCGGAUCGAAGUCUGCAACUCGACUUCGUGAAGCUGGAUUCGCUAGUAAUCGCGCAUCAGCCACGGCGCGGUGAAUACGUUCCCGGGCCUU
rnacentral:rRNA from 1 species